rnacentral:rRNA from 1 species
UACGAAGGGUGCAAGCGUUACUCGGAAUUACUGGGCGUAAAGCGUGCGUAGGUGGUUCGUUAAGUCUGGUGUGAAAGCCCUGGGCUCAACCUGGGAAUGGCAUUGGAAACUGGCGACCUAGAGUGCGGUAGAGGGUAGUGGAAUUCCCGGUGCAGCAGUGAAAUGCGUAGAGAUCGGGAGGAACAUCUGUGGCGAAGGCGACUGCCUGGACCAGCACUGACACUGAGGCACGAAAGCGUGGGGAGCAAACAGG